rnacentral:rRNA from 1 species
CAUGCAAGUCGAACGAGAGAAGAGAAGCUUGCUUUUCUGAUCUAGUGGCGGACGGGUGAGUAACACGUGAGCAAUCUGCCUUUCAGAGGGGGAUACCGAUUGGAAACGAUCGUUAAUACCGCAUAAUAUAAUUGAACCGCAUGAUUUGAUUAUCAAAGAUUUAUCGCUGAAAGAUGAGCUCGCGUCUGAUUAGCUAGUUGGUAAGGUAACGGCUUACCAAGGCGACGAUCAGUAGCCGGACUGAGAGGUUGAUCGGCCACAUUGGGACUGAGACACGGCCCAGACUCCUACGGGAGGCAGCAGUGGGGAAUAUUGCACAAUGGAGGAAACUCUGGCGCAGCGAUGCCGCGUGAGGGAAGAAGGUUUUAGGAUUGUAAACCUCUGUCUUCAGGGACGAAAAAAGACGGUACCUGAGGAGGAAGCUCCGGCUAACUACGUGCCAGCAGCCGCGGUAAUACGUAGGGAGCGAGCGUUGUCCGGAAUUACUGGGUGUAAAGGGAGCGUAGGCGGGAUCGCAAGUCAGAUGUGAA